rnacentral:rRNA from 1 species
UACGUAGGGUGCAGGCGUUAAUCGGAAUUACUGGGCGUAAAGCGUGCGCAGGCGGUUUGUUAAGACAGGUGUGAAAUCCCCGGGCUUAACCUGGGAAUUGCGUUUGUUACUGGCAGACUGGAGUGUAGCAGAGGGGGGUGGAAUUCCAAGAGUAGCAGUGAAAUGCGUAGAUAUUUGGAGGAACACCGAUGGCGAAGGCAGCCCCCUGGGCUAACACUGACGCUCAUGCACGAAAGCGUGGGGAGCAAACAGG